rnacentral:rRNA from 1 species
UACGAAGGGGGCUAGCGUUGCUCGGAAUGACUGGGCGUAAAGGGCGCGUAGGCGGCUCACAGAGUCGGACGUGAAAUUCCUGGGCUUAGCCUGGGGGCUGCGUUCGAUACCUGUGGACUAGAGUGGGGAAGAGGGUCGUGGAAUUCCCAGUGUAGAGGUGAAAUUCGUAGAUAUUGGGAAGAACACCGAUGGCGAAGGCAGCCAUCUGGACCGACACUGACGCUGAGGCGCGAAAGCGUGGGGAGCAAACAGG